rnacentral:piRNA from 1 species
UAAAAUCCAAUGUUUCGUGUCUUCAUGUGU